AGCGCCGGUAAGGUGAUAUGAACCGUUAUAACCGGCGAUACCCGAAUGGGGAAACCCAGUGUGAUUCGUCACACUAUCAUUAACUGAAUCCAUAGGUUAAUGAGGCGAACCGGGGGAACUGAAACAUCUAAGUACCCCGAGGAAAAGAAAUCAACCGAGAUUCCCCCAGUAGCGGCGAGCGAACGGGGAGGAGCCCAGAGCCUGAAUCAGCAUGUGUGUUAGUGGAAGCGUCUGGAAAGGCGCGCGAUACAGGGUGACAGCCCCGUACACAAAAGCGCAUGUGCUGUGAGCUCGAUGAGUAGGGCGGGACACGUGGUAUCCUGUCUGAAUAUGGGGGGACCAUCCUCCAAGGCUAAAUACUCCUGACUGACCGAUAGUGAACCAGUACCGUGAGGGAAAGGCGAAAAGAACCCCGGCGAGGGGAGUGAAAAAGAACCUGAAACCGUGUACGUACAAGCAGUGGGAGCACAGGUUUACCUGUGUGACUGCGUACCUUUUGUAUAAUGGGUCAGCGACUUAUAUUCUGUAGCAAGGUUAACCGUAUAGGGGAGCCGAAGGGAAACCGAGUCUUAACCGGGCGUUAAGUUGCAGGGUAUAGACCCGAAACCCGGUGAUCUAGCCAUGGGCAGGUUGAAGGUUGGGUAACACUAACUGGAGGACCGAACCGACUAAUGUUGAAAAAUUAGCGGAUGACCUGUGGCUGGGGGUGAAAGGCCAAUCAAACCGGGAGAUAGCUGGUUCUCCCCGAAAGCUAUUUAGGUAGCGCCUCGUGAAUUCAUCUCCGGGGGUAGAGCACUGUUUCGGCUAGGGGGCCAUCCCGGCUUACCAACCCGAUGCAAACUGCGAAUACCGGAGAAUGUUAUCACGGGAGACACACGGCGGGUGCUAACGUCCGUCGUGAAGAGGGAAACAACCCAGACCGCCAGCUAAGGUCCCAAAGUCAUGGUUAAGUGGGAAACGAUGUGGGAAGGCCCAGACAGCCAGGAUGUUGGCUUAGAAGCAGCCAUCAUUUAAAGAAAGCGUAAUAGCUCACUGGUCGAGUCGGCCUGCGCGGAAGAUGUAACGGGGCUAAACCAUGCACCGAAGCUGCGGCAGCGACACUCAGGUGUUGUUGGGUAGGGGAGCGUUCUGUAAGCCUGUGAAGGUGGCCUGUGAGGG
rnacentral:rRNA from 1 species